CCUUGUCUCUGCCUCCGUUUUCUUCUUCGCGCGGCUAACUGUCCUGCUCCAGGCUUGGCUGGUUGGACUGGGCGACCGUCGCAGAAACUGCCACCCCUUGUAAGGAACAAAUUGAACAUAGCACUGCAAAUCAAAGCAAGAUAAACAUUAAUAUGAAGGGGAGUGAUCAGAGAAGCCUUCUCGGAAGAGGUCUGAGGAUAGUGGUAGAAGUCACUGAUCUUCCGCCUAUAAAGAUCCCAAGAGGAGCAGUGGUUGGUCACCUUGUAGUAUUGAAACUGCUGAAAAAUGGGGAAGCAUCCAUCCAAAGUGAGACAUUGAUUUGUGGAAGAGUCGCAGGUACCUGAUUGGCCCUGACUCUCAGCAAGUUGAAUGUGAUAAUAUUUACAUCAUCUGAUCAAUGAUAUUCAGAGUUUGCUAGACACGCAGCAAAAUAACUAGGUCACAUAAAAUUUCAUUUAAGGUUUUAAUAAACUUUUUUAGCCAA